UACGUAGGGGGCAAGCGUUGUCCGGAAUCAUUGGGCGUAAAGCGAGCGUAGGCGGCCCGAUAAGUCUGCUGUAAAAGUCAACGGCUCAACCGUUGAAAGCCGGUGGAUACUGUCGGGCUAGAGUUCGGAAGAGGCAAGUGGAAUUCCUGGUGGUAGCGGUGGGAAUGCGCAGAUAUCAGGAGGAACACCUAUAGCGAAGGCAGCUUGCUGGGACGAUACUGACGCUAAGGCUCGAAAGCGUGGGGAGCGAACAGG
rnacentral:rRNA from 1 species